rnacentral:rRNA from 1 species
GGUUUUGGGAUAUAAAUUUAAGAUUUGCUCUGCUCAAUGAAGCUUGAAAUUUAAAUAGCUGCGGUAAAUUGACUGUAUGAAAGUAGCAUAAUAAUUAGUUCAUUAAUUGUGAACUUGAAUGAAUGAGUUGAUGAGGCAUUGUCUGUCUUUGUUUUAUAAUGUUUGAAUUUUACUUUUAAGUUAAAAGGCUUAAGUUUUGUAAGGGGACGAGAAGACCCUUUAGAACUUUGUUUUGGAUUAAGUAUUAAUUUAUUUUGAUUUAAUUCUUUGUUGGGGUGAUGAGUAGAUUUAUCUAAUUUUAUUAUUUGUUUAGUAUUGAUUUUUGGUUAUGUUAUUGAUUUGGUUUGUAAAUUUUAGAUUAAGUUACCUAAGGGAUAACAGCGUUAUUUAUAUGGAGAGUUCUUAUUAAUAUAUAAGUUUGCGACCUCGAUGUUGAAUUAAGAUUAAUAUUUGGUGAAGGUUUUUAAUUAUUGGGUCUGUUCGACCUUUGAAAUCUUACA